AGAGAGAGACAUGCGCGCAUAUCAAUAAGCGGAGGAAAAGAAACUAACAAGGAUUCCCCUAGUAACGGCGAGUGAAGCGGGAAGAGCUCAAAUUUGAAAUCUUAAAGGGUUUCCCUUUACGAAUUGUAGUUUAAAGAAGUGUUUUCUGUUGAGGUUUUGGUAAAAGUUCUUUGGAAUAGGACAUCAUAGAGGGUGAGAAUCCCGUAUUUGACCUUUACUUUCAACUUUGUGAUACACUUUCAAAGAGUCGGAUUGUUUGGGAAUGCAGUCCAAAAUGGGUGGUAAAUUUCAUCUAAAGCUAAAUAUUGGCGAGAGACCGAUAGCGAACAAGUACCGUGAGGGAAAGAUGAAAAGAACUUUGAAAAGAGAGUUAAACAGUACGUGAAAUUGUCAAAAGGGAAGCGUUUGACACCAGUGUUGUUUUUCUGAAAAUCAAUUAAAGAACUGUUUAUGCUAAGCUGUUUAGACUUUAUCAGCUAACUGUUUAGUUUUGAGCUUUUCUUUAAUGCACUUUUCAGUUAACAAGUCAACAUCAAUUUCUUUUGCUGUAAAAAAGCUUGAGGAAGGUGGCUUGAGAUUCGUCUUAAGUGUUUAUAGCCUCUUGCCUAUGCAGUCGGAGAGAUUGAGGUCUGCAGCGUAGAUCCUUCGGGCUAAAUGCAUUUGUGCUAAGUUAUAGCAUUUUAUAGACAACUUGUUGACUAUGAUUUGUCUUGUAGCUUACUCGCUUAUGUUAUUUUACCUACGCUUAGGAUGUUGACGCAUGAGAUAUACGC
rnacentral:rRNA from 1 species